AAUGCACCAAUUUUAAGUCGCUCUGGAUAAGAGCGUCUGCUAAAUGACUUAAA
rfam:Salmo salar isolate Sally breed double haploid chromosome ssa01, whole genome shotgun sequence.